GUGGCUGUAAUACAGUGGUUAGUAUUCCACGUUGAGGCCGAAGGGACCUGGGCUCGAUUCCCAGCAGACACA
rnacentral:tRNA from 1 species